rnacentral:rRNA from 1 species
CGAAGGGGGCUAGCGUUGUUCGGAAUUACUGGGCGUAAAGCGCACGCAGGCGGUUCGAUUAGUCAGAAGUGAAAGCCCCGGGCUCAACCUGGGAACUGCUUUUGAUACUGUCGAGCUUGAAUCACGGAGAGGGUAGUGGAAUUCCGAGUGUAGAGGUGAAAUUCGUAGAUAUUCGGAAGAACACCAGUGGCGAAGGCGACUACCUGGCCGUCGAUUGACGCUCAUGUGCGAAAGCGUGGGGAGCAAACAGGAUUAGAUACCCUGGUAGUCCACGCCGUAAACGAUGGGUGCUAGCUGUUGGGGUACAUGUACCUCAGUGACGCAGCUAACGCGUUAAGCACCCCGCCUGGGGAGUACGGCCGCAAGGUUA